ACUUAUUUCAUGCAAUCUUAUUUAUUUACAGAUGGUUUCUUUGAUAAGUUUAAGAGGAUGCUGGACCAUCCAAUCAUGCAAACUGUCUUUAUUGCAUGUGUCAUACUUGGUGUAGUUAGCGCCAUACUCACAGUAUUUCUGAUAAAAUGGUGCAGAGCCAAGACUUAAAAAGUUGGACCAAAGGAAGCUGAGGAAGGCAAGACUGGGUUUGUACAGAAUGUGAAGUGAAGAAACAACAAGAAAGUAAAGGCUACAUGUAUCCACUAAAUAUAAACAAAAGAGAAGUAGACAUAUUUCAAGCCAAUGUGGACACUGCGUAUAUUUGCCAUAUAUAUGCAGAAUCAGUUAUCAGUGUGAAGAGAAUCUGCAAAAAUAAAUGAAGAACAGUUUCCAGGGCAACAGAACAACAGGCUUCACCCUGAUUGGACCAGUUAGACACAACCACAGAAGACUAAGUAGCCAAACACCGAAGGUGGCUGCGUGUCUUAUAAAGUUAUAUUUGUUUGUAUCAUAUAUUACAUGUAUUUCUGAAGUAAUUAUAUCAAUAAAAGUCAUUUAGUUUGUA